rnacentral:rRNA from 1 species
UACGGGGGGGGCAAGCGUUGUUCGGAAUUACUGGGCGUAAAGGGCUCGUAGGCGGCCAACUAAGUCAGACGUGAAAUCCCUCGGCUUAACCGGGGAACUGCGUCUGAUACUGGAUGGCUUGAGGUUGGGAGAGGGAUGCGGAAUUCCAGGUGUAGCGGUGAAAUGCGUAGAUAUCUGGAGGAACACCGGUGGCGAAAGCGGCGCGCUGGACCACAACUGACGCUGAGGCACGAAAGCCAGGGGAGCGAACGGG